rnacentral:rRNA from 1 species
GACGAACGCUGGCGGCGUGCUUAACACAUGCAAGUCGAACGGAAAGGCCCCUUUGGGGGUACUCGAGUGGCGAACGGGUGAGUAACACGUGAGUAACCUGCCCUUGACUUCGGGAUAACUUCAGGAAACUGGGGCUAAUACCGGAUAGGAAUCCUUGCUGCAUGGUGGGGGUUGGAAAGCUUCGGCGGUUUUGGAUGGACUCGCGGCUUAUCAGCUUGUUGGUGGGGUAGUGGCUUACCAAGGCUUUGACGGGUAGCCGGCCUGAGAGGGCGACCGGCCACAUUGGGACUGAGAUACGGCCCAGACUCCUACGGGAGGCAGCAGUGGGGAAUAUUGCACAAUGGGCGGAAGCCUGAUGCAGCAACGCCGCGGGCGGGAGGACGGCCCUCGGGUUGUAAAACGCUUUCAGCAGGGGCGAAGCUUGUGGUGACGGUACCUGCAGAAGAAGCACCGGCUAACUACGUG